rnacentral:rRNA from 1 species
GAUGAACGCUGGCGGCGUGCCUAAUACAUGCAAGUCGAGCGAACAGACGAGGAGCUUGCUCCUCUGACGUUAGCGGCGGACGGGUGAGUAACACGUGGAUAACCUACCUAUAAGACUGGGAUAACUUCGGGAAACCGGAGCUAAUACCGGAUAAUAUAUUGAACCGCAUGGUUCAAUAGUGAAAGACGGUUUUGCUGUCACUUAUAGAUGGAUCCGCGCCGCAUUAGCUAGUUGGUAAGGUAACGGCUUACCAAGGCAACGAUGCGUAGCCGACCUGAGAGGGUGAUCGGCCACACUGGAACUGAGACACGGUCCAGACUCCUACGGGAGGCAGCAGUAGGGAAUCUUCCGCAAUGGGCGAAAGCCUGACGGAGCAACGCCGCGUGAGUGAUGAAGGUCUUCGGAUCGUAAAACUCUGUUAUUAGGGAAGAACAAAUGUGUAAGUAACUAUGCACGUCUUGACGGUACCUAAUCAGAAAGCCACGGCUAACUACGUGCCAGCAGCCGCGGUAAUACGUAGGUGGCAAGCGUUAUCCGGAAUUAUUGGGCGUAAAGCGCGCGUAGGCGGUUUUUUAAGUCUGAUGUGAAAGCCCACGGCUCAACCGUGGAGGGUCAUUGGAAACUGGAAAACUUGAGUGCAGAAGAGGAAAGUGGAAUUCCAUGUGUAGCGGUGAAAUGCGCAGAGAUAUGGAGGAACACCAGUGGCGAAGGCGACUUUCUGGUCUGUAACUGACGCUGAUGUGCGAAAGCGUGGGGAUCAAACAGGAUUAGAUACCCUGGUAGUCCACGCCGUAAACGAUGAGUGCUAAGUGUUAGGGGGUUUCCGCCCCUUAGUGCUGCAGCUAACGCAUUAAGCACUCCGCCUGGGGAGUACGACCGCAAGGUUGAAACUCAAAGGAAUUGACGGGGACCCGCACAAGCGGUGGAGCAUGUGGUUUAAUUCGAAGCAACGCGAAGAACCUUACCAAAUCUUGACAUCCUCUGACCCCUCUAGAGAUAGAGUUUUCCCCUUCGGGGGGCAGAGUGACAGGUGGUGCAUGGUUGUCGUCAGCUCGUGUCGUGAGAUGUUGGGUUAAGUCCCGCAACGAGCGCAACCCUUUAGCUUAAUUGCCCUCCUUAAGUUGGGCACUCCUAGUUGACUGCCGGUGACAAAACCGAAGAAGGUGGGGAAGACGUCCAAUCCUCCUGCCCCCUAUGAAUUGGGGCUCCCCACCUGCUACAAUGGGACAUACCAAAGGCCACGAAACCGCGAGGGCAAGCCAAUCCCUUAAAGUGGUUCCCGUUCGGAAUGGAGUCUGGAACCCCACCUUUUGAAACUGAAACGCUAGAAACC